rnacentral:sRNA from 1 species
ACACCUCGGGAUGGUAGGAGGAGUGUUC